AACGAACGCUGGCGGCGUGCCUAACACAUGCAAGUCGAACGCGAACGGGUCUUCGGACCCUAGUAGAGUGGCGCACGGGUGAGUAACACGUGGGCAAUCUACCCAGGGAUUUGGGAUAACCAGGGGGAAACCCUGGCUAAUACCGAAUACGUCCAUGAGGCCUUCGGUCCUCAUGGAGAAAGGUGGCCUCUUCUCGAAAGCUGCCGUUCCUGGAUGAGCCCGCGGACCAUUAGCUUGUUGGUGAGGUAACGGCUCACCAAGGCCAUGAUGGUUAGCUGGUCUGAGAGGAUGAUCAGCCACACUGGGACUGACACACGGCCCAGACUCCUACGGGAGGCAGCAGUGGGGAAUCUUGCGCAAUGGGGGAAACCCUGACGCAGCAACGCCGCGUGGGUGAUGAAGGCCCUUGGGUCGUAAAGCCCUGUCUGGAGGAAAGAAUCCCGCUCUCGCUAAUACCGGGAGUGGAUGACGGUACCUCUGAAGGAAGCACCGGCUAACUCCGU
rnacentral:rRNA from 1 species